AUUUAGCUUCAACCGUCAUCUAUCUAAUCAGUGAUGGAUCACGGUACAUGACUGGAACAACCAUAUUUGUUGAUGGGGCACAGUCCCUAGUGAGGCCACGCAUGCGCUCAUAUAUGUAGUUCUUCUUAUACAUGGUAUUUGGACAGCCUUUGGGUGGAUGAUGCAGGCCAUUGUUGAUUCACUCAACCACUGUAACUGGAACUGUUGUUUUCUACUAAUGUCGCAAUAGUAGGUUUCUUAUUUGCUCGACCAUUCUCGUGAAUAAAGUCGCAGUAUGUGUGUGCUUGGGGGGUGCUUCCUUUGAAUACUAGAAUUG
rnacentral:misc_RNA from 1 species